rnacentral:sRNA from 1 species
UGAUACCAGGGUCAAAAGGUCAUGCGUUUCAUGCUUGCAUGAAAAAGCAAGACUUUGGGACCCGCAAAACAUGAGAAAGAAGCCCGGGCAGGGCGGAUUUCGAAUGUUUUUAGGAUUGCGGGAGCACAAAAUGCACAGGUAUCA